rnacentral:tRNA from 1 species
CCGUCGAUAGCUCAGUUGGUAGAGCGGUGGACUGUAGAGGUAUUUCACCCGAAGCGGACAUCCAUAGGUCGCUGGUUCGAAUCCGGCUCGACGGA